CAGGCCAUGGGAAGACAUUACCUGUUGAUAACACAGACUAUUCUCAUGAUCAUGGGAGGUGUGAGAGAAUUGCUGCUCUUUGUGAUGACUGUGGGGGUUGUCAAAGUUUCUUGUUACCCUGUUGGAAAGUCCCAGAAGCAAGAUCAAGUCUCUCUGCAGAGGAGACUUGGAGAGCUGUCAUCAAAUGACGUCUCCAUUGAGCAUGCCCUGGCCUUGCUCCGAUCCAUAGGGUCUGACGCUAAACAAGACAGAGAAGAGUAUUUAGAGACUAACGAAGUAGAAUCCCAAGCUUCUCCAAACCAUGGUAGCUCUCAGGCAAAUGAUGCCCUGUCCUCUGAGGAGAAGCUGAGGCGCAUGUCCUCUGACGACGCUGCGACUGGCCCGUCUGACGACGCUACCUCUGAAGCUGCGACUGGCCCGUCUGACGACGCUACCUCUGAAGCUGCGACUGGCCCGUCUGACGACGCUACCUCUGAAGCUGCGACUGGCCCGUCUGACGACGCUACCUCUGAAGCUGCGACUGGCCCGUCUGACGACGCUACCUCUGAAGCUGCGACUGGCCCGUCUGACGACGCUACCUCUGAAGCUGCGACUGGCCCGUCUGACGACGCUACCUCUGAAGCUGCGACUGGCCCGUCGUCUGACGACGCUACCUCUGAAGCUGCGACUGGCCCGUCUGACGACGCUACCUCUGAAGCUGCGACUGGCCCGUCGUCUGACGACGCUACCUCUGAAGCUGCGACUGGCCCGUCUGACGACGCUACCUCUGAAGCUGCGACUGGCCCCGUCUGACGACGCUACCUCUGAAGCUGCGACUGGCCCCCCGUCUGACGACGCUACCUCUGAAGCUGCGACUGGCCCGUCUGACGACGCUACCUCUGAAGCUGCGACUGGCCCGUCUGACGACGCUACCUCUGAAGCUGCGACUGGCCCCGCGUCUGACGACGCUACCUCUGAAGCUGCGACUGGCCCGUCUGACGACGCUACCUCUGAAGCUGCGACUGGCCCCGUCUGACGACGCUACCUCUGAAGCUGCGACUGGCCCGUCUGACGACGCUACCUCUGAAGCUGCGACUGGCCCGUCUGACGACGCUACCUCUGAAGCUGCGACUGGCCCGUCUGACGACGCUACCUCUGAAGCUGCGACUGGCCCGUCUGACGACGCUACCUCUGAAGCUGCGACUGGCCCGUCUGACGACGCUACCUCUGAAGCUGCGACUGGCCCGUCGUCUGACGACGCUACCUCUGAAGCUGCGACUGGCCCGUCUGACGACGCUACCUCUGAAGCUGCGACUGGCCCGUCUGACGACGCUACCUCUGAAGCUGCGACUGGCCCCGUCUGACGACGCUACCUCUGAAGCUGCGACUGGCCCGUCUGACGACGCUACCUCUGAAGCUGCGACUGGCCCGUCUGACGACGCUACCUCUGAAGCUGCGACUGGCCCGUCGUCUGACGACGCCACCUCUGAAGCUGCGACUGGCCCGUCUGACGACGCCACCUCUGAAGCUGCGACUGGCCCGUCUGACGACGCCACCUCUGAAGCUGCGACUGGCCCGUCGUCUGACGACGCUACCUCUGAAGCUGCGACUGGCCCGUCUGACGACGCUACCUCUGAAGCUGCGACUGGCCCGUCUGACGACGCUACCUCUGAAGCUGCGACUGGCCCGUCUGACGACGCUACCUCUGAAGCUGCGACUGGCCCGUCUGACGACGCUACCUCUGAAGCUGCGACUGGCCCGUCUGACGACGCUACCUCUGAAGCUGCGACUGGCCCGUCUGACGACGCUACCUCUGAAGCUGCGACUGGCCCGUCUGACGACGAAGGAAAAUUGGUAGGUUCUCUGGAAAAGAUAUGUCUCUACAUGACCAAUGAGGCCUACCCUCCUCCCCCAGCCAUUGGGAUGAACUUUGCGGGACCCCCCAUCCGAAUACUCUACCAGAUCCAGCAGAGACUGAACCAGGAACUCCAUAGCAUGGUGGUGGCCGUGGUACGCCUGAAUAGAAAGACAAACACAGUCUCAAGCAAAGUCCAGUGGUACGCCUGA